GGGUAGAAAUCAAGUUCUUCAACACCAAGAAGAGGUCGGUGGCUCGUAAUACGUUCGAAAAGAACUUCUUCAAGCUAAUGAAUAACUCGAUCUAUGGAAAGACUAUGGAGAAUCUAAGGAAGAGAGUUGAUGUCAAGCAAGAAAAAUAGUCCUUACUACUCAACCCACAAUAAGAAGGUUAUAGGCAAGUUCAAGGAUGAAGCCGGAGGAGUACCCAUAAUUGAGUUUGUUGGGUUAAGGUCAAAGAUGUACUCAUACGUGAAGGAGAAUAGUAAAGGAGGGAUGACAGCUAAGGGGGUUAAGAAAGCAUGUCAUCAGGAACAAGCUAACUCAUGAGAACUUCAAGAACGUAAUCAACACGAAGGGUAGGAUAAGACAUAACAUGAAUACAAUCAGGAGCAUAAAGCAUACUAUUGGAACGUAUGAAAUGAGGAUGGUUACUCUGAGUUGCUUUGAUGAUAAAAGGUAUCUUUUGGAGGAUGGAGUUACCAGUUAUGCUUACGGUGAUAAGAAUAUUACAAAUGUAGAGUGAGGAGUUCCAGUAGAGUAGAAAGUGAAAGCUGUAGAGGGUAAGUAAGGGG